ensembl:lncRNA
GGAGUGAGCGAGAAGCUGAGGUUUGGCCCUGAGUAGCUGUGUGUGUAGAUCUGGCACAGCUUUGCUCCCUUAACUCCUGGAUCUUUGUUUUGGUGGCGACCAGGGAGAGCAGGGAGCGCUGUGCUCGCAUUUCCCUCUGGCUUACACACACACACACACACACACACACACACACACAUACAAAUCCCCCUUUCCAACUUUCUGCCUUUUGCGCUUCCCUUCCAGUUUUUCACUUCUCAGACCUACUGGCAGCAUUUGCCGAGAUCUAGACCCCGCCGUGAUUUGAUUCACAGAAAAAUGCGAGCGAUGCACGCCACUGAUUUGGGUCUUCUGCACACAAUUCAAAAGGAAAAGGUGAUUUUUUUCAUUGCCUGCCAAGUAAGUGGGAGAGGUGUAGGGAAAAGUGGAUUUAUGCAUAAAACGCAAAACUCCAGAUGAAAGAACGGACCUCUUUUAUCAUCGUAGAAAGAAUCCAUCUGCAAUAAUUACUAGUCAGACUAUCUGCACACUAUGUUACUUCAUGACAUCUAAGAACUAAGAGCUGCUGCACUUCUUGAACCAAUAGCCGCUAUAAAGCAACCAGCAUCACUCCUGAAUGAAAAAAUUGGCCCAACCACUGGUGAAUGGCACUCAGUAGGUUUCCCAUUGAACCAUGCUGCAAAACAAUGAUGCACAUUGGUAAAUCAUUCUGUGCGCCUUUCACUUCUUAUGCAUAUCCCAUACCGGACAGCUUCCAUUCAUCCUGGCACCCACAGCAAACAAAUGUAACUAUGCAUCAGAGAUGAAAGUGAAAAUGCAUAUGUUAAAUCCCAAAUGGAAGCAGAAGAGUGUAAUAUAUACAUAGUUGCUUAGCAACAAACAUGUUUUGGCCACAGGAACUGUGACAUCAGUCAGAGAAGCGAGAGCGAAGCUAUUCUGCCCUUCUUGUCUGUUUCCCUAGAAGCUUCAUAAAGGUCUUUCGUUAUUUCUUUCAAAGCAGAAAAUAGAGGGCUAUUGUGGACAUUUGUUUAUGCUAUUAAUGCAACAGACUGUAGGACAAUAAGACUUUUCUUUGCACAGGAAAACCUGUUUUCAUUCUGGGUAUCUGUCACAAUGAUGCAUGCCCUCCCAUCCAGCCAGGUGUUUUGAUCCUCGCUUUAUGGCUCACUGCAGAGUCCCUCUUAGCUGCAAUGCUCGAACAGGAAAAAUGAAGUGCUAAGUCCAAAAAUACAAACUGCAGAAAUAAUAAUAAAAAAAUUGCUUUGGUGUCA